ACUAUUUUCUUGCUAGCUGCACAUGAUGUAGCGGGCAAAACAAACUGCAGUAAAUAGGCCCUUAUUAAGGCAACGGUAAUGUAUGGGAGGAGGGGGAGUCUCCUAUCAUCCUAUUAUUAGGUGUCAGUCUUUUGCUGAGCCUGUGUUUCUGAACUGUGACCUCACAAGAGCUUCUCAGUCCCCUAAUCUUUGGUGGGACAGGAUGGCUAAAGUGGACUGAAGUUGAGUAUUUCCCAUCCGGGGCCCAGGAAGCAUAAGGGAAUUUUUCUCUCAUCUUCUCUGUGAGAACCUGGUCAAGCUCCUGGAGGUAAAACCCCAAACAGUGUUGAGGGCCCUUAUGACUGAGUCCCCUGGAGUGUUUAACCCUCAGAUGUGUCCACACGAAGCCUCCAGCCAUUCAUCCAUCACAGUUCAGGUUUCCCUACCCUGGCACGGGUUCUCACUGUAGUUUCUGCUCCUGUGUUUCUGCUCUAGUAAGUUGUGAUUCUCUGUUUUCAACUUUUUGUUGGUCCUUCCAAUUUUGGGGGCAGCAGUUUUCCCUAUGAUGAGUUGAUUUUUCAGUUUGUUCGGCUUUCUACUUUUAGGAUGGAGUGGCCACUUCUAGCUUCUUACAGAGUCAUAAACCAGGAGUCCUCUACUGGAUGUGCAGAGCCCAGCAAAAUGUCUGGUGCAUAAGGAGGCUCAAUAGAUUUGAACCGAACUGACCAGGGUUGAAGCAAUAGGGACCCUUUUGUUAACCCAAGAUGAGGCAGACAAUCCAGCCAUGAGUUUCCAGUUAGCAUUUCUCGGCAGGGGCAUCAAGGGAGCUGGUUGGUGGCACCCCUGCCUCUUUACAGAAGACUCCAAAUGCAGCCGCACCCUUGGCCAUCACCAAGCUGUGCAGCUGGAGGUCGAAGCCUGGAAUUCUUGCCACGCUGGGUCCUCACCUACAUCCUCGCAGCCCCAGUGGGUUCAGCUCUCAACUUGUUCCAGUCCCCACUGGAAACCUGAGAAUUCAGUGAUGUAUUGGAGAAAACAAGUGCCUGCAAACUGUUUGCAGAUAUGUGGUCUUUGGUCUGAGCUACCAUAGAAAAGCUUCCCGCAACCAAAUGAAUUACAGACACUCAGCAAAAGAAA